rnacentral:rRNA from 1 species
UACGUAGGGGGCUAGCGUUGUCCGGAAUCAUUGGGCGUAAAGCGCAUGUAGGCGGUCCGGUAAGUCCGCUGUGAAAGUCGGGGGCUCAACCCUCGGAUGCCGGUGGAUACUGUCGGGCUUGAGUACGGAAGAGGCGAGUGGAAUUCCUGGUGUAGCGGUGAAAUGCGCAGAUAUCAGGAGGAACACCAAUUGCGAAGGCAGCUCGCUGGGACGUUACUGACGCUGAGACGCGAAAGCGUGGGGAGCAAACAGG